rnacentral:rRNA from 1 species
GACGAACGCUGGCGGCGUGCUUAACACAUGCAAGUCGAACGGAAAGGCCCUGCUUUUGUGGGGUGCUCGAGUGGCGAACGGGUGAGUAACACGUGAGUAACCUGCCCUUGACUUUGGGAUAACUUCAGGAAACUGGGGCUAAUACCGGAUAGGAGCUCCUGCUGCAUGGUGGGGGUUGGAAAGUUUCGGCGGUUGGGGAUGGACGCGCGGCUUAGCAGCUUGUUGGUGGGGUAGUGGCUUGCCAAGGCUUUGGCGGGUAGCCGGCCUGAGAGGGGGACCGGCCACAUUGGGACUGGGAUACGGCCCAGACUCCUACGGGAGGCAGCAGUGGGGAAUAUUGCACAAUGGGCGGAAGCCUGAUGCAGCAACGCCGCGUGCGGGAUGACGGCCUUCGGGUUGUAAACCGCUUUCGCCUGUGACGAAGCGUGAGUGACGGUAAUGGGUAAAGAAGCACCGGCUAACUACGUGCCAGCAGCCGCGGUAA